UCCGCCCCUGCCGGCAUUGGAGGCGGCCGCUGCGGAGGACAGAGAGGGAGAGUGGAUCGCACCCACUACUUCUGCCGGUCUCUACAUCUGUCAAGUCUCCCACCUUGGAUAGGCCCAUUCUCCUCCACUGAAUGAAGGACAAUGAAGACUCUCCCUCCUGAAUAUUGGGAUUUCUCAGACAGGGCAAAUGUAUCGACAUAUAGGGACGUAAUUCUUGCAUGUGACAAGAAUUACCAUAUGAAAGACUGUGGCUUUAGCUGGACCUGUCCCAUUCCGUAUAUAUCUGAGUGAUCACUAUUAGUGUGGAGGUGGCUGGUUGGCUGGCCAUUCCAGGUUUAAUUCAAGAGGCAUAGGAAGAUCCUGUUUGGUCCUUACAUUUUACUUAUUUUUUUAGGUCUAUAUUUUUCUUUUAUUCUUGGAAUAUUUACUUGAA